rfam:Prevotella marshii DSM 16973 genomic scaffold SCAFFOLD1, whole genome shotgun sequence.
GGGGAUACGCUUAGAGUCCCCAAGGGUAUCGUGUUAAUAGUUGUGUCUUUGGCCGGGCACGACGGUUAGUGAAUC